CCUACGGGUGGCAGCAGUCGAGAAUCAUUCACAAUGGGGGAAACCCUGAUGGUGCGACGCCGCGUGGGGGAAUGAAGGUCUUCGGAUUGUAAACCCCUGUCAUGUGGGAGCAAAUUAAAAAGAUAGUACCACAAGAGGAAGAGACGGCUAACUCUGUGCCAGCAGCCGCGGUAAUACAGAGGUCUCAAGCGUUGUUCGGAAUCACUGGGCGUAAAGCGUGCGUAGGCGGUUGCGGAAGUCGUGGGUGAAAGGCGCGGGCUCAACCCGCGGACGGCACAUGAUACUGCGAGACUAGAGUAAGGGAGGGGGAACCGGAAUUCUCGGUGUAGCAGUGAAAUGCGUAGAUAUCGAGAGGAACACUCGUGGCGAAGGCGGGUUCCUGGACAUUAACUGACGCUGAGGCACGAAGGCCAGGGGAGCGAAAGGGAUUAGAUACCCCAGUAGUC
rnacentral:rRNA from 1 species